UACGCAGGGGGCUAGCGUUGCUCGGAAUGACUGGGCGUAAAGGGCGCGUAGGCGGCUUGCACCGUCAGAUGUGAAAUUCCUGGGCUUAACCUGGGGGCUGCAUUUGAUACGUGUGGGCUUGAGUGCGGAAGAGGGUCGUGGAAUUCCCAGUGUAGAGGUGAAAUUCGUAGAUAUUGGGAAGAACACCGGUGGCGAAGGCGGCGACCUGGUCCGUGACUGACGCUGAGGCGCGAAAGCGUGGGGAGCAAACAGG
rnacentral:rRNA from 1 species